rfam:Rattus norvegicus chromosome 3, whole genome shotgun sequence.
GGGGAUUUAGCUCAGCGGUAGAGCGCUUGCCUAGCAAGCGCAAGGCCCUGGGUUCGGUCCCCAGCUCCCA